UGUUGUCCUAGGAGGUGACUGCCACGUCCAACAGAGGAUCAUAGUGCUUGGAGUAGACAAAAAUAAAGCUUUACCUGAAAAGAAAGAAAUCACCAUGUCAAAACGCUCAGAUACUAAAGAUAACAAGGACGAUCCUGAUCCAGAGUGUUCCCUAACUACCCAAUUAGUACCUACAAUGCAUCUGUUAAAUGCUACUGAGAAUGUCAGUGUGAAGUGCAGAGUGGAUCCCUCUUCAAUGUAUGAUGUCCAGCCAGUGAGGAAGCCUGAUUUUAAAGGUGUGAAAAAAAGGAAAUGGAUUUAUGAUGAACCAAAGAACUCUCCUGGCCCAGGAAUGUAGAGAGUGGUACAGGCACCAAUUUCCCAAAAUAAAAUGAGGGACCAUCGCAAUUAUAAAAACAGAAAUGCUGAAAAUGCAUCCUAUAUCCAUGCUCAGAGAGAUGCUGUCAAACCUGUCUCGUUGAAUGCACCUUCUUACAGCAGGCCCAUGAAUAGUUCCUACAUUAAAGGCAAUGUUAACAAGGAACCCAAACCCAACCGCUGUCCUGGUGAGGUUCAUUACUUACAUAAUUUACUCAUGUCUAUAGUUUGCAUCACCAUGGAAUUUCUGGAUGGUCCAACUGACCUUCACUGUUACCCACCUUCUCUUCUUUUUCGAGGCCAUCACCACCAUAACAUCUUAGAAAACUAGUGAAGGGAUUUCUUCCAUGUGUAGAAAUACACGAUUUAAAGGAUAUGGAAGAAAACAUGUUGGGUGACAUCAUUUGUUGUGAACCUCCCUAGAGUUUUGUCUCAGAGCACAGCACUCUGUUCCCCCUGGAUAGCUUUACUUCACCCUUAACGAUUGUUUUCAAAUGGUUGACCUUGUCUUGUUCCACUAACUACAUUGUUCAAUGAUCACUUCAUGCUAGUGCUUCAGCUUUUCUUGAGAACCUCAUGACUACUUUUGGAAAGGGUUAGUUUGGGGGUUAAUGGCAAUUAUUUUUGACAACGUCUCAUCUCUUCCACCAUACACAGAUUGCUUCUAAAUCAUUGCCAUCACAUAACAGGCAAAAUCACAGUAUGUGUCAGGCAGUACAGGCCUCAAGGGAGGAAAGAACCAAAUCUCUUUUUCUUCCUGUCUCACAUGAAUUUUGCUCUUUUAAAGUUGGGUUGCAAAGUCCACUCAGCUCCCUGUGAUAUCAUGCUUGUAUUUUCCUGUGUUCACAGUCUACUCAGGGCAGUUCUGAAUGUUGUGUACUUUCUGAAAUAUAAGUAAAAACUCUGCUUCUUUUAGGUCUUUUCUUUUAUAAUUUAAAUAGAAGUUAGUUUUAUGUAAAUUGUUUUUCUUCUCCUUGUUUUAGAAUAGAAUGAUGUAUGGAUUUACAUAUAAAAAUAAGGAUACCAAUAGGUAAAGCAGGCUUUUCAUUUUAUUUACUAAUUUUAAAAAAUCAAUUUUAUUGUUAUUUUACUGUGAGCAGACACCUGUGAAGAAUACAAUGGCCAGCAGAACUGCCUGGUGCCAUUAUCUAGAUUUGUGUGAAGGUGGCUGCACUUACACUCGCUAUUGCUUUUGCACCAUUUGUGCAAAUGUCAACACGGAAAAAUCAAAAUAAAUUCGUAGGAUUAUUGUGGACCAUUAUUUGACAAUCACAGCUGUGUGGUAAUACUUGAAAACACAAAUAUAUCACUGUUAGUUAACUGUUCAAAUACAGAGCCAUCAGAGGAAAGUAGACAUUUAAAGACCAAGUCAAUAUAUAAAUGCUUUGGUUUCCCGGGGCAGAGAGUUCACUGUGGCAGAGCGAUUAUUGCCAUCAUGGAGUCACUUCGUGGAAGGAAAGGGACUUUGCCUGUACCUUCCAGGUUGUCCUUCCUUCCUUUCUCCUUUUCUUCCUUCUCUGCUUCCUUCCUCCCAGUUUUUAAAAAAGCUUUUUAAAAAUUGUAAAAUCAUGGCAAAGAAAAGCAAUGUAAUCUUUCCAUUACACCGAGAUAUCAUAUUCUCGUCUAGCUUAGCCUCAUAGGAGAGAGCCUGAUAUGAGGAACAAGACAGUUAAUUAAGAGAUGUGUAACCAUGUUCAUUGAGAACUUAAAUGGUCUUUUAAUAAACUCAUGUCCCUGAUGCCUUAGCUUUGAAAGAGUAACUUUAAAAUAUUCCUGCACUAUGAUUUUAAAGUUAUAAAAUAUUCAAUUCCAGUCUCCUUUUUUCUCAGAUAAAUAUACGUCAUAUAAUGGUUCAGCCUGGCAGAAAAGAAUUCCUUUUUCAAAAACAUAUUCAAAAACUGAAAAGAUAAAUACAGGUAAAUAUUUACUAGUGAUUUUAAUGCAUCAUAUAAUUCUGAAAAUGAAAGACAAGUUUUUAAGCUCAAACAACUUAUUUUAGAAAAUUUAGAAAAUUUUCACAAUGCAUAUAAACAAGUACUUGUUUAGAUAUUCUCUCUACUAGCCAUCUUACUUUGUAUUGUUGUGUUCGUCUUUGUUCAUUUUUAUGUGUUAUCAGAAAUCUUUUAAUGUACUUCUCUCCUAGGCUAUAAGUAUAGCAGUUGCAGCAAUUUUAUAAUACGUUAAGAUGCAUUCUUUGUUGAACUGCAAAGCAAAGAUAUAAAACCAUAUGCUGACCCAAAAUAUUACAGCCUUACUGUGUCCACCAUAGACAAAUAUGGGCUGGUACACACUGAAAGGGCAUCAGAGAUGAAGUUUCUAGGCCAGGAGGUUCAGAGCGACUGUGGUCUCCCCCUUGUUGUGCUCUGAUCUCCAGGAAGGCGUGGGGACCCUGGGAAGAACCUCAGGGUAGAGGCUUGUAGCAGAUCUGACCUCAGGUGGUUCUCUGGCUUAAAAGCUUCUUCUACCUUAUCCGGGAGCUGGCUCAAUGGCUUUGGGAAGCCACACAGGAUAAAAUGGUUUCAGUUACUUCUCAGAGAAAUGAACCUUUCAGAAAAAGCCCUUGAUAGGGAGUCCCUACCUAAAUCGAUAGCCCAGAACUUUCAGAAUCAUCUGAAAUACAUAAGCUCUUGUAAGAGCUUCCCAAAAUGAGCCAGAACACAUCCAGACUAGAGACUAUCCUCUUCCCAAGAUAAACUGCUGAAAUCUUCUAAAGCAUUAUUUCUCUAAGCUCUUUGAACUUUAACUGUGAGGCAAUAUGCAAACUUGUAUAUAUAUUUAUGUACUGGAGUUAAUUGUUUUU